GAUGAACGCUGGCGGCGUGCCUAAUACAUGCAAGUCGAGCGAACGGACGCGAAGCUUGCGGCUCUGAUGUUAGCGGCGGACGGGUGAGUAACACGUGUAUAACCUCCCUGUAAGACUGAGAUCACUUCGGGAAACCGGAGAUUACACGGGAUGAUAUUUUGCACCGCAUUGUUCAAAAGUGAAAGUCGGUCUUGCUGUCACUUAUCGCUGGAUCCGCGCUGCAUUGUCUAGUUGGUAAGGUAACAGCUUACCAAGGCAACGAUGCGUAGCCGACCUGAGAGGCUGGUAGCCGACACGAGAGGGUGGACACGGACCUGACUCCUACGAGACGGAGCAGAAGGCAACCGUCCGCAGUGGGCGAAAGCCUGGCGCAGCAAGGCCGAGUGUGUGAUGAAGGUCCCCCGAUCGUAAAACUCUCUUAUUGGGGAAGAACAUAUGUGUAAGUAGCUGUGCAGAUCGUGACGGUAAUUAAUCAGAAAGCCACGGCUAACUACGUG
rnacentral:rRNA from 1 species